rfam:Picea glauca, whole genome shotgun sequence.
CAUAAAUACAACAUAACAUUAAUGCACCAAAUCCCAUUAGAACUCUGCAGUUAAGUGUGCUCGUGCUAGAGUAGUAUUGGGAUGGGUGACCACCUGGGAAGUCCUAGUGUUUGACAUGC